AUGCCGCCGCCACCUCGGAACGCGCGGGUUCUGACCUGCAGGGGAGACGAGGGGCAGCGCUCCGGAGCGCAGGCCCCCGGGGACAACCAGCACCGCCCAUGGCGGGCCUGCCGGCGACCGGGGAGACGAAGCGCGAGCCGCAGAAGGCUCCCGACUGCGCGAGGGGCGCGCCUUUCCCGUGUUCGGACCGGACUGGGGAGGUUGCGGGAGUCCUCUGGGGUCUCUCGCAGGCACCGAGAGGUGAUGAGGGCUGGGGAGAGCUACGUGACUUUAGGUCCCUCCAGAGCCGUUGCCAACCCCGCUGUGGGGGUGUGCCCCACCCCAUCUCCACUGUCUAAAUGGGGACCCAGAGCGCAGAGGGGACGGGAUUGGAUCCCAGGGUCCUCUUUACCCCGAAAUUCUCCCCGCCGCAGACCCAGACCCUCUCUGAGGGGCGGAGAGCAAAGUGCCCGAAUGUUCACGGGUCCAGGAACCGGGGUGGGGAGCGGAGAGCCUGUCCUCCCAAGGCCAACACGGAGGGAAUUCGAGUUCCCGGGAAUCAAAGUUGCCGCGCGUCCAGCCGCGGGCUCGGAGCGGGGCGCAGGAUCUCGGCCAGGGGCCCAGGAUGGAAGGAAGCCCCGGGCGCCCGCCGCGGGCGAUGGCCGCGCCGGGAACAAGUGGUUCAGCGGCUCCGGUCGCGACCCCACGGCUCCAACUUUCCCGACGCGUGGCGGGCGAAGGGCGCGGAGGAGGCGAGGGGAACGGGGAGGGAAAGGGCGGUGCGCGGCUCUUGGUACCGUGUGCGUGUGUGGAGCGGCGCCGCGCCGCGCCUCGGGCUCUGCUCUCCGCCGGAUCGGCCCCCGCCGGCCGCCUGCUCAGGUGCUGGCCACCGCCGCGUCUCGCUGCCGGCGCGAAGGCUCAUCCGCGGCGCGCCGGACUCUCUGGGGUCCCCUUGGCCCGUCCGCUAACCUCUGGCCGCUUGCCGGCCGCAACUUCAGGCGCGCCGCGGGCUCGGACGAGACGCGCCCCAAACGUCCCGAGGCUCGGCACCCCCGCGCUCCAUGCCCGGGCCGCCCCGCCCCAACCGGCUCAGCGCCCGGCCGCCGUCGGACGCGUCUCCUCGCCGAGAAUCGCGCCCGCAGCCCGCACCCCUCUCGCUCUCGAGCCGCCGCCGCCGCUCAAGUCCGCGAUCAACUUUCCCUCGCUUCCUCCGCCCCGCGCGGCCCCCGCCACCCAGACCCCGCCUCCUGA
rnacentral:lncRNA from 1 species